rnacentral:rRNA from 1 species
GUCUAUGGCCAUGCUACCCUGAGCAAGCCCAAUCCCAGAAGCUAAGCAGGGUCAGGCCUGGUUAGUACUUGGAUGGGAGACCACCUAGGAAGACCAGAUGCUGUAAGCA